GCUAAUCCCCAUCUGUUAAAAGCACAAAAUAUUAUUGCUGAGAUUGAUCACAUCAGCCUAAGGGAAAUAAAUGUAAAUAAUAAAGACGCAUUUUUUGAAAUUGCACUAGGCAUGAGUACAGAGAAUAUGAGAUCUUCAACUAUAAUGUAUUCCAUUCUGGUAAAUUUUAUUUCAUUUUUUUUAGGGAGGGUAAAUUUGAUGGUUUCUAAUGCAUAGUUGGUCAUAUUGAGUUAUUUAUCAUUCCAUCAGGAGAUAACACUGUAGAUUAAUCCAAAUUAAGCACAAGAAUACUGCAAGAGACAGCUGCAAUUAGAUAUAUUCUUAGGUAGACUCAGUCCACCACAUCAUUCAUUAUGAUAAUAUAAUCAUAGAUAAACAUGAGAUUUAAUUUUCAAUUAUCCUUCCAUAUUUGUAUAAUUAUAAAUAAAAAUGUGGUUUGAUUUUUAGUUAUUCUUAAAAUAUGGAUGAUGUAGAGUGAUUUGAAUAGCUUAAUUUACGGAUGACUUGGUAGACUGAAUCUACCUAAAAAUCUCUCAUAGCUUCAUGGGCAAAACAUAUAAAUACUACAUUAGUAUAUUGUAGAGGCUAUGUAUCAUAAUCCAAAUCCAAUGCAUACCUGGAGGGAAACUAAAAUAUUUGG
rnacentral:misc_RNA from 1 species